rnacentral:rRNA from 1 species
AUUGAACGCUGGCGACAUGCCUUACACAUGCAAGUCGAACGGCAGCACGGGUGCUUGCACCUGGUGGCGAGUGGCGAACAGGUGAGUAAUACAUCGGAACAUGUCCUGUAGUGGGGGAUAGCCCGGCGAAAGCCGGAUUAAUACCGCAUACGAUCUACGGAUGAAAGCGGGGGACCUUCGGGCCUCGCGCUAUAGGGUUGGCCGAUGGCUGAUUAGCUAGUUGGUGGGGUAAAGGCCUACCAAGGCGACGAUCAGUAGCUGGUCUGAGAGGACGACCAGCCACACUGGGACUGAGACACGGCCCAGACUCCUACGGGAGGCAGCAGUGGGGAAUUUUGGACAAUGGGCGAAAGCCUGAUCCAGCAAUGCCGCGUGUGUGAAGAAGGCCUUCGGGUUGUAAAGCACUUUUGUCCGGAAAGAAAUCCUUGGCCCUAAUACGGUCGGGGGAUGACGGUACCGGAAGAAUAAGCACCGGCUAACUACGUG